GACGAACGCUGGCGGCGUGCUUAACACGUGCAAGUCGAACGGAAAGGCCCUGCUUUUGUGGGGUGCUCGAGUGGCGAACGGGUGAGUAACACGUGAGUAACCUGCCCUUGACUUUGGGAUAACUUCAGGAAACUGGGGCUAAUACCGGAUAGGAGCUCCUGCUGCAUGGUGGGGGUUGGAAAGUUUCGGCGGUUGGGGAUGGACUCGCGGCUUAUCAGCUUGUUGGUGGGGUAGUGGCUUACCAAGGCUUUGACGGGUAGCCGGCCUGAGAGGGUGACCGGCCACAUUGGGACUGGGAGACGGACCAGACUCCUACGGGAGGCAGCAGUGGGGAAUAUUGCACAAUGGGCGGAAGCCUGAUGCAGCAGCGCCGCGUGCGGGAUGACGGCCUUCGGGUUGUAAACCGCUUUCGCCUGUGACGAAGCGUGAGUGACGGUAAUGGGUAAAGAAGCACCGGCUAACUACGUG
rnacentral:rRNA from 1 species